rnacentral:rRNA from 1 species
AAAGUGUAUGAGUUGCUUGCAUGCAACCGCGGCAAUCCUGCGGCUCUGAUGCGUGAGUACUUGCCUGCAGCUCGCUCUGCGCGCAUGGGCGAGGUAGCGCCAGCCCUGAGGACUGCAGCCCGCACGUGGUGGAGCUUUGAGAAGCAUUUGCACUGCUGCGCAUGUCUGGGGGCCGGUGGUAGGAGCUUCUUGGGACAUCUCGGCACGCAUUGAGGCUUGCAUUCCCGCUGAAUUUAAGCACAUAAGUAAGCGGAGGACUGGAAACUAAAGAGGAAGACCUCAGUAAUGGCGAAUGAACUGGGACUUGCUCAGUGCUGGAAUGGAGUCAUUGAGCCUCUAACUGUGCUGCUGUGGCGUACAGCUUGCGAGGCCUCAGGCUUGAGCUUCUUGGAAAAGAGCGCCAUUGAGGGUGAGAGUCCCUCCACCUGCCUAAUGCCCUUGCUGAGUGGCGUGCGCUCCUAGAGUCGUGUUCUUUGGGAAUGGAGCGCAAUAUGGUGGUAAGCUGCAUCUAGAGCYAAUCARDCACUUGAGACMHACAUCUGMCRAGKACUGUGAVGUAAAGAUGAAAAGSACUKUGMARRGAGAGCUAAAAGUGCUUGAAAUCACCGUGGGUGAAGUGAAUUGAGCGACGAUCUCGACGAGAUUGCCUUGCGGCGUGCAAACUGACUCCAGCUGCGCCUGUGGAGCUUGGGAUCAGGCGCGCAGCCUGCAGGGUGUGACUCGUUAAGGUUGCCGUCAGCAGCUGCAUCGCCGACACCCCGGCAAGCUACUGCAGCUAGUCUCGGUGAGUUGCGUGCGCGCUUUGGCCGGCGAGUGGGCUGCUUGACAGUUGGGCCGUGGCUCAACUCAUCCCGUCUUGAAACACGGACCAAGGAGUCUGAAACACGGACCAAGGAGUCU